rnacentral:rRNA from 1 species
CAGCAGCCGCGGUAAUACAGAGGAUGCAAGCGUUAUCCGGAAUGAUUGGGCAUAAAGCGUCUGUAGGUGGCUUUUCAAGUCCACCGUCAAAUCCCCGGGCUCAACCCUGGACAGGCAGUGGAAACUACCAAGCUGGAGUACGGUAGGGACAGAGGGAAUUUCCGGUGGAGCGGUGAAAUUCGUUGAGAUUGGAAAGAACACCAACGGCGAAAGCACUCUGCUGGGCCGACACUGACACUGAGAGACGAAAGCUAGGGGAGCAAAUGGGAUUAGAUACCCCUGUAGUCCCUGUCUCUUAUAC